rnacentral:rRNA from 1 species
CGGACGGGUGAGUAACGCGUGAGAAUCUGGCUUCAGGUCUGGGACAACAGUUGGAAACGACUGCUAAUACCGGAUGUGCCGAAAGGUGAAAGGCUGGCUGCCUGAAGAUGAGCUCGCGUCUGAUUAGCUAGUUGGUAGAGUAAGAGCCUACCAAGGCGACGAUCAGUAGCUGGUCUGAGAGGAUGAUCAGCCACACUGGGACUGAGACACGGCCCAGACUCCUACGGGAGGCAGCAGUGGGGAAUUUUCCGCAAUGGGCGAAAGCCUGACGGAGCAAUACCGCGUGAGGGAGGAAGGCUCUUGGGUUGUAAACCUCUUUUCUCAAGGAAUAAAAUUUGAAGGUACUUGAGGAAUCAGCAUCGGCUAACUCCGUGCCAGCAGCCGCGGUAAUACGGAGGAUGCAAGCGUUAUCCGGAAUGAUUGGGCGUAAAGCGUCCGCAGGUGGCGAUGUAAGUCUGCUGUUAAAGAGCAAAGCUUAACUUUGUAAAAGCAGUGGAAACUACAAAGCUAGAGUGCGUUCGGGGCAGAAGGAAUUCCUGGUGUAGCGGUGAAAUGCGUAGAGAUCAGGAAGAACACCGGUGGCGAAGGCG